rnacentral:lncRNA from 1 species
CAUUAGGAGUGGUGUUAUAAAAGCAAAGUUGAAAGGGCUGGGCAAACGGGUCUAAGACUCGGUAAUCGGGACCAUACUCCACAACAUAAUCCCCAAAUUCACCUUCAUUAACAUACUUGAAGGUUGCAGAAGGAGGAACAGAGGCUUGAGCGAUGGCGAAGGAUAAGCAAAGAGAGAGCAAUAGUUGGUGAAGAGAAAACAUUUUGGUUUGCUUGCUAGUUUUUGGGUUUGGUUGGUAUAUAAAAUCAAGGUAGAGAUGUACCCUUUUAUAGGAGAAAUGGAGGAGGAGGUUUUAGCCGGUCAAAUUGACUUGCAAGUUGAACGUGGUGGGACGGUGGUGGGCUUCAUUUAAUUUUAUAUCAUAGAUUUCUCAUAUUUCCGGAAAAAAAGAAAAUCCGGCUGAGUAAUUCUUUUGUCUAAAUUUUGAAUUUUUUUGUUUAAUUAUUUAAAUUCAUUUAUUUUAAUUUAAAUAUUAGUAAAAUAUUUAAUUAUUGCUGUUGCAUGAUGAAUAAGAACAAAGUAUUAUUUUUCUCCUGUCUCUGUUAAUUGUAAUUUAAUAUUAAUUAGUUAUUAUUUUUAUUAUAUAUAAAAAAUUAUAAUUAUCCCCUCUCUUUUCUCCUCGCUCCCACUUGCACCAACCCCUCCCUUUCUCAUCAUUAAUGAGACACAACCACCUGGACCAAUGCAAUUGGACAAAUUGCCAACCAGCUAGCAUGGCGAGCCAAUAGUAUUCAAUUUAAAUAAAAACAUUAAUUAAAUUUAAUUUUUACUUUUUCAAUUUUAUUUUAAAAAUUUUAAUUAUUUCAAUUUAAUUUAAUUUUCAUAAAAAAUUAAUAAAAUUUAACUGAACUUAUUAAUAAAUAAUAAUAUAUUACUUUUAAUGAUUUAAAAAAAUUAAAUCAUAAUUAAAAUUAAAAUAUUUUAAUUAAAUUUUAAAAUAUUAAAAAUAAUAUAUUAAAAAAUUUAAUCGAUUAAAUUAAAUAAAAUUAAAUCAAUUCAAUAUAAAUUAAUUUUCAUUUAAAAUUAUUUUAAUUCAACUUUUACUAUACUAAAAUUUGAUUUUUCACUUAAUUCAGUUGAAUUCACGGAAUGCUUACUCUUAUAUUGCUGAGCAGCUGACGAACAAGCAGUGGUCGCUCAUUGAAAAUCAGUAUUGUGAUGGUAGAUAAUGGUGACUUUUUAAUUUGAUAAAAAAAAAAUAAAAGUUUGAGUGAUUAAACUUAAAAUAUAUUAAAAAGUAAAAUUUUUAAUUAAAAAAAUGGCAAUUGACACAGAUGCAAUUAGAAAAAAAAUAAUGUUUACACUUAUAUAUAUAAUCAUGAAUAAAAAAGUUAAUUUUUUUAGCAUAAAUUAAUUUUAAUAAAAAAAAUUUAUUAUUUAAUUUUAAUAUAAUAAAAAAAUUUAUUAAUUAGUCUUUUAAUUUUAAAAAAUAUAUUAAAAUAUCUAUAAAUUUUUAUUUUAUUAUUUUUAAUAAUUAAUUAUUUUAUUAUUUAAUUUAUAUAGUAUAAAAAAAUUUAAUAAUUGAUAUUUCAAUUUUAUAAAUAUAUUUACUAAUUAAUUUUUAUUAUUUUAAAUAUUUUAAUAAAUACUUAAUAAGAGACUAAUUAAUAUAUUUUAAAAAUAUUUUAACAUAUUUUUUAAAAUUAAAAAAUUAAUUAAUAAAAUUAAAUAGUACUUUUUUCUUUUAAUAAUAUGUAAAUAAGUUUAUAUAUUUUUAUCAGGGAGAGAGCUCAAUUUUGUUCUUAAGCUUUUAGCCACAUAUAAAUCUAAAUAAAUUUAUUAUUUAGAAAAAUAUGAGUUAAUAUUUUAACUUUUUUAUUAAUAAAAUAUUAAAUUGAAAAUUUAAAAUAUUUUAAGGUCAAUUUACAAAUUUAGUAAAAUAAUAAUUGGGAAAAAUUAUUAAUAAAUUGAACAUGAAACCACAAAUAAUAAAAGAAUAAAAAUAAAAUUUUAGAACUCAGUAGUUGACUUGUUCCGUUAUAAACGGCCGACGAUGCAUCGACCAGGGUUGUAAAGCACACAAUGGAUAGAAUAAAAAACGAGAAGCAGUAAUUCACCAAAAUAAAAAAUACUUCAUUCCUCCUCAAAAAUGUAAAUUUUAUUUUAUUUUUACAUGAAUAAAUAAUUAUUAUAUAAUUAAAAUAAUAAAUUUGAUUUACAAUUUUUAAUAUACCUCAGCAUAUAUUAUUUUAUUAAAAUUAAAUAAUUUUUACUAUAAAAUGCUAUUAUUGAAGUUUUUAUUUUUAAAAUUUUUAAAGUAAAAUAAAACUUAUAAAUAAUAAAUUUCGACAUAAAUUUGGUCAAACAAAGAGGGCAGUCUUCGUUGACCAAAGAAAACAAGCAUCACUGUACGUGGACAAUUGGACUAGGGAUGUAAACGGGUAAGGUACCUGCAAAAUUGAGAGUAUCCAAUCCGAUUAUAUAUAUAAUUUUUGAAUCCGUUUUAAAUCCAUUUAAUAUUUUAAUUUUAUUAUCUGAACCCGUCCCAAAUCCAUUUAAUAAUACCUGUAUAAUACCGGAAUCCGAUUUUUUAAAUUUAAUUCAAUGACAAGAGAAAUGUUCAAUGACAAGAACAACAACUCAACAACCCAGCAAAUAAUAAUUUAUAACCAGAUAAUCAAAUUAAUUGUUCAUAAAUUCUAAAAAUCAACAGUAUUACAUUAAUCAAAUAGCAAAUAAUUAAAUUUUUUAAAAGUAUCUAAAUAAUCAAUUCAAUGAUAAAAAUUACCAAAUAAACUAGAAGGAGAAAUGUUCAAUGACAAGAAACAGCAACUCAGCAAACUCAACAAACCCAACAGUAGAAAGUUCCAGUCAAAAAAUUUGAUUGCAAACCUGAAGAAAGUUCCAGUUAAAGGAGAUGUCGCCGACAACAAUUGGGGAGAGGCAAGGGUCCAGCAUAAGUGAAGUGGGGGAAAGAAGCGUCAAUUGAAAAGAGUACAUGUCACCGACCGGAAGAGAGAAGGAGAUAUCGCCGAUGCCGACCGGGGAGAGGGAAGAGUUGUCUCCGACUGGGAAGUGGGAGAUGCCGCCGCUGGAGAGAGAAGGAGAUAUCACUAACUGGGGAGAGAGAAGAUUUAUCGUCAUUGUCGACUGGGGAGAGAAAGGAGACGUCGCCGGUGCCAACUGUCGACACUCGUCAGUGAAGUGGGGGAGAGAGGCCUUGUCUGGGAAGUGGGAGAUGUCGCCGACUGGAGAGAGAGAAGGAGAUAUCGCACUGUAAAGAGAGAAGAUUUAUCGAGGAGAGAAAGGAGACGUUGCCGGUGCCGAUUGGGCUGCCGGCAGUCGUCAUGAAGUGGGGGAGAGGCGUCGACGAAGAGAGAAAAGGGAAGCGAGGGAGAGAGGCGCGCCAACGGAGAGAGGAAAGAAAGAGUAAAAUGAAAAAGGAAAUUAGGGUUAGUUUUGUUAAUAUAGGUAAUCGGGUUUGGGUAAUGGGUAUACGAUCACCUAACCCCGAACCCUACCCGAAUCCGAAACGGGUAAAAUUUUUCAAAUCCGAAUCCGUCCAAAUCUGUUUUGUAAAAAUCCAAAUCUGUCUUAAUAGGAUUUGGGCGGAUCGGGUACCCAUAAAAACCUGACCGCCUGACAUCUCUAAACUGGACAUGGAGACCACCGUCUGAUCCUCAUAAACUCUCUGUCUUUUGUCGUACAAAAAACCGUACGUUUAUUAAUACUAUUUGACAAUUAAUAUUUUUUAAAACAAUUAUUAUUUAAUUUUAUAAUAUAAAAAAAAUUACUAAAAAAUCUAUUAAUUAAUUUUUUUUAUUAAUUUUAAUUAUUAAAAUUUUACAAAAAAUUUAAAAUAUCUGCAUAAAUUAAUUUUUAAAUUUUUAAAAAUACAUAAAUUAAUUAAUAAUUUUUUUAAAAUUAUAAAAUUAAAUAAUAAAAUUAAAAAGUUAUUAUUUAAUUUUUAAAUAUUAUUAUUAUUAAAUUUCUCAUCUGAGUCGAUACUCUCACCUUUUCUUUCUCCUUAAAUUUCAUUUAUAUUUUUUCUUUUUCUAUGGAAGACGAUCUACAUCAAUUGACUAUCGAUAAAAAAGAAAAUAUUAUUAUUCCUAUUAAGGGUUAUAUAAAUAUUUCGAUCGUCACUUAUAAUUUUUAUAUGACAGAUAUAUUUUUCACAUACAAUCUAAUUAAUUUUGAGAAUAUAUAAAUUUUUUUGGUAAAUUUAUAGCGGUAAUCCUCGAACAGUUAAUAUAUCGAAGGAUUUGGUUACUAGUUACAAAUCAAACAUUUUAUUUUUGAUAGAAAUAAAAACUCUUAGUUCUCUUAUGAAAUUUUUUCAUAAAUUUUUACAUUUUGAUGAUUAUUUCUCAGUUAAUAAACAAGAAUUGGGAGGAGAUCUUUCGUUGAUAUGUAAGAGUCGUGUGUUUAUUUCUGUAGUUGAUUUUUCUUCAAAUUUUAUUGAUUCGGUUGUUUCAGAAGGUAAUGUUUAAUGACAGUUUACUAGUUAUUAUAAGUUUCUAAAAUCGCAAUAACAAGGUAAGUUAUUGAACCUUAUUCGAAUUUUAUUUCAUAGAAACUCUCUUAUGUGGUUUUGUUUGGUAGACCUUAAUAAUUUAUACUCGAGAGAUGAGAAAAAAGUAGGAAUAUCUUUAUCAAAUUAUGGGGGUUUAGAUAGACAAUUGAGCAAUAUUUUUCCUAAAUUAUCUGGGCUUGAUUUUGAAUGAUUAUUUAUUUUUGUUAUACUCUAAAACUGAUAUUUCUGUUAAAUAGAUUCGUAAUAAUAAUACUCUAACUACUAGGGGUGAGCAGUAUUCGGUUUAAACCGAAAUAACCGACCGAACCGAUUAAUUUCAAAAUUUUGGUUCGGUUUUAUUUUUUUUCCGGUUCGGUUCGGUUUGAAAUUUUUAAAAAAUCGGUGAUUUCGGUUCGGUUCGGUUUUAGACGUAAAAUUUUCGAUUAGACCGAACCGAACCGAAAUCAACUAUACUACGUCGUUUUAAUAGUUUCCUAUUCCCUAAUUCCCUAUUUCCCUUCCCUUCCCUUCCCUGCCCUAAAUCUAAAACAAAUUUCUAUCUCUUCGUGCGUGCCACCAAGGCUCCUCUCAUCUCUAUGCUCUGCUCCAUCUGCUCCAUCUCUCAUCUCCAUCUGCUCCAUCUCUCUCUCUGUGCUCUGCUCCAUCUCUCAUCUCGCCACGAGAUUCUCGCGCCUGUGCCUCCACUCUCCUCUCGAUUGGACUGAUUCACCAUCGGCGUCGGCCGUUGCUCUCUAUCGGCUCUCCACGCGUCGUCGGGCAGUCAACAAUCUCUCAUCUCUAUGCUCUGCUCCAUCUCUCAUCUCGCCGCGAGAUUCUCGCACCUGUGCCUCCACUCUCCUCUCAACUGAACUGAUUCACCAUCGGCAUCGGUCGUUGUACUCUAUCGGCUCUCCACGCGUCGUCGGACAGUCGGCAAGUGCUUAUUCCACAGCCCUCAGUCAGUAAGUGUUAUUUUGGCAAGUGUUAUUUGCUGUUGAUUGUUGAAUUUGUGUGUUGAAUUUGUGUGCUGUGAUUGUUCUUUUUACUCUUUUUAGAUUUAAUUUUAGAACACUAAAAAUCAAUCUAAAAAGAGUAAAAAGAAUAAUGAAAAGUUUGAAAAUCGGUUUAACGGAUCGAACCGACUGAACCGAAUCGAACUGAACCAAAUCGGUUUGAUUCAGUUAUCUCUCUUAUUCGGUUCGGUUCGAUUUAUGUAAAAUACUGCAAUUCGAUUUUUAGUUAUUUCGGUUCGGUUUGAUUUUGAACCGAACCGACCGAAUGCUCAUCCUUACUAACUACUCAUAUUUUACCUACAUAAUUUAUCUCUCUCCUUGAAAUGAUAUCUUUCAUUAUUUAAUAAAAUUUUAAUAAUACAAUCAGCUUUAUUUUAAAAAAAAUUAAAUAAUAAAAUUUUUAACUAUAAAAUUAAUAAAAAAAUAAUUAACAAAAUUUUGGGUUAACUGUCAAAAUUCAUACUCCAUUUAAGCUAUUAUAACAUAUAUAUAUAUAAUAAUUUAAAAUAAAUUAAAUGUAUUAAAUUUUAUUUUUCCAUAAAUUAUAAAUAUAAUUUAUUAUUACUAAUUGAAUAUGAAAACUCAGCUGGUGAGGUGGCAGUCAUAUUCAUAUAAAGAUUUUCCUCAGGGACACAUUGUGGUGGGGCCAUCUUAAUGUCUUAUCCCCAAAUUAUUGGCGGAGGCGGCUAAAGGAUUUUCAUGCAUCCUUAUCCUCGAGAAUGCAUUAUCUGUCCUGGAAAGAUGGUUUUAACCUAUUCUUUUUUUUUUUUUUUUGAAAAAAAAAAAAUAAAAAGCAAUCUCAAAUUUUUUCCCCCUCAAAUUUUAAUGAUUAUAUUUAAUUUUAUACAUUUAAAUUUUUUUUACCCGAAUUAUAAAAAUAUUUUGAUUUAGAUCAAUUUACCCAUUUUUAAUUUAAAAUAUCAAAAUACCGAUUUUAAAUUUUCAAUAGUAAAAUAUUAAUAUUACAUUUUGAUAUUAAAAUUAUUUAUUAUUAUAAUCAAUAUAAUAAAAAUAAAAAUUAAAUUUUAAUAUCAAAAUAUAAAUUAAUAUUCUAGUAUUAAAGUUGAAAAACUAAUAAUUUUUUUAAAAAAGAUAAAUUUAAUUUUAAAUCAAAAUGUUCUAAUAAAUUGAAUAAAAAAUUAAUUUUAAAUGAAAUUAAAUGAAACUAUACUAUGAUUACUAUGGCAGCCACUCUAACUAAUGAUUAAGUUAAUAUACUGAAAAAAUAGAGAAAAUAUAAUAGAUUGCUUAAAAAUUAAAUAAUAUUAUAAAAUAGUAAAUAUUUAUCUUUGUGAUUCUUUUUUUUUAUAUUAUAAGAACGUAGGGAUAAACUUGAUAUUUUUUGAUAAAUUGACGAUGAUGUGACCGACUACUUAAUAAGAGAUAUUGUUUGCUAAUGAGUGAGAAAUUUUGCGAUAACAGACGUAAUGGGAAUACGGUGCACUGUUUCUGUUUAUUGGUAACUUUGUAUUAAGUCUCGCCCUGUCGAGGGAAGGGUGAGUCUUGGAUGAUGAAUCAGGUGUUUAGGGCAUUCGGAUCUUCCAUUCUUUGCGCUGGACCAUGUUUCUCACUUAUCAUAUCAUUGUUACGUAUUCCAGUCUCGUGGUAAUAGCUCAUGACUUAUUUUAAGCGAUUGUUAUGUAGCAUCAAAGAUCCCCGUUUGUAUUCGACUCUUAAGAUUCGAAGGAGAUAGUUGUUCUCAAGGUCUGGGGCACGUGGCCUCCUGAGAUUGGUUUUUGCUGCUCACGCCAUUUCGUCCAUUUAGCCCCUCAAUGAUGAUCGCACUGCUUAUCAUGUCGUAUUUAAAAUCUGGCAUCAAAAUCGUCUUAUAAAAGCCCUUAUUCUUUCCCAAAUAUCGUUUUUGUAAUACCCGGCUAGACUCCGACGUCGGAAUUCCAACCUUUUGACGGAAUCCCCAUUGGAAUCCGGAAUCUCGGAUGUCGGAACCUCUUAGAAGGGUAAAAUAAGUUUUUCACAAAAUGAAUUUUAUGGUUUUACUUUUUGUUUUUGUAUUAAAGAAUUUUAAGAAGAAAGAAAAGAUUUUUUGAAGAAAAAUGCUUUGGAGGGGAAAAAUCAGGUUCGGCCGUUGAACCUUCAUGCUCGGCCGCCGAACAUGGUGCUGCCGCGGGAGCUCUCCUUUCGGCCCCUGAAGGUGGUCUGGCCAGCCAUCUAUAAGAGGCCUCCAGUCCGAAAAUGAGAGAGUUUCUCUCUCCAUUUUCGGGCAAAGGUGAGUUCUUGCCCUCUCAUUAUUGAUUUUGUUAUUUUUCCUUCAAAUCCUUCAAAAUAUUCAUGAGUUUUCCCUCGUUUUUGAAGAUUUGAGCUUAAAUAUGAGUUUUGAACCUUGGAGACCUCUGGAGACCGUUUGAACUCAUCUCCACUGUAAUACCCGGCUAGAUUCCGGCAUCGGAAUCCCUACCUUCGGGCGGAAUCUCCGUUGAAAUCUGGAAUUCUGAAGAUGCCAGAGUCUUCUAGAAAGGUAAAGUGUGUUUUUUAAAAUGUUUUCACAUGAUUUUAUGGUUUUAAAUGAAAAAGAAAUGAGUUUUGAAAAGAAUAGGCCAAGGAGGAAGGACCCAGGUUCGGCCGCCGAACAUGGGGCUGUUUCGGAAGUGCUUUAGGCCUCCGAAGGCUUUGAGGGCAGAAACCAGGUUCGGCCGCCGAAUCUCAAGUUCGGCUGCUGAACAUGGGAUAGUUUAGGGGGCACGUUAGGCCGCCGAAGGUGGUUGACCGGCCACCUAUAAAAGGCCCCUCAGACCGAAAGUGGGCGAGUUUUCUCUCCAUUUUUGAGCUAAGGUGAGUUCAUGUUCUCCUUUGGUCGAUUUCAUGUUCUUUCUUCAAAUCUUUCAAGUUUUAACAAGUUUUAGCUUGGGUUUUGAAGUUGUGAGCUCAAGAUCAAGUUUUGGGAGCUUGGAGACCCAAAGAGUUGUUUUCUCCCAUCUCCAAGUUAGGGAUCGCACCAACCCUCGAUCUUCAAGAGGUAAGUGUAGAUCCACGCCUUUUUCUUUGUUUUAAGCAAGUUUUAAGAAGUUUUGAUGCUUGUGUGAGGGUAGAUGUGCAUGUUUAGGUUUAUGUGGGUUUAUGCUCAAUGUAUGUUUAUAUGAUGUUUUGUUGGGAGGUUUAAGCUAGUUUAUGCCCUAUUUGCAUGAGGGAGUGUGUAUGCAUGUUUGGGAGAGAGCAUGUGAGGUUUUCAGUUGUUUUGGAAGGUUUGGAGGCUGUUUGUGCAUGAGGAGGCUGAGUUCUGCCCUUCGGGAAGAACUCAGGUUCGGCCGCCGAACCUGCCUGUGGUGGCUUGUUUUGGCUGCCGAACCCUGCCCUCGAAAGUUGGACUUUCGGCUCUGGAGGGGAGUUUCGGCCGCUGAAGGUGCCGCCGAACAUGCACGAGUUUCGGCUCUGGAACCACUUUCGGCAGCCGAAGGUGUCGCCGAAAGUGGCUGAGUUUCGGCUCUGGAGGGACUUUCGGCCGCGGAACCUGCCGCCGAAAGUGCCCUGUUCAGCCUUCUUUUGCAUGAUUUCUAUGGUUGUUUUAUGAUGUUUUAGGGGAUUUUCGGGGAAAUGUUUAGAGUCCUAUUAGAGUAUGUUUGGUCCCUCAUUUGAGUCCACCUGUGUAGGAACGGACCUGAGGAACUGAGGUGUUCGGCAGUGAGUUAGCUGCUUCAGAGUUAGUAAGCGUCAGCCAGAGGUGAGUGGAACUGAACCUUAUGUUUAAAAAUAUAAAUCAAAUGUUUUAAGCAUACUCAUGCAUCAUGAAUACCAUGUUAUGUAAUAGGUUGUUUACAUUAGAAUUCACGAAUAUGAUGCAUUGCAUAAUAUGAUGAUGAUGAUGUGGAUGAAUAUUGAAUGAUCCUCUAGCUCUCUGUACGGUACGAUAUGAUAUGAUAUGACAUGAGAUAGAUAGGCCAGACGUGGCUGUAUUGCCCUUGGCAAUAUGUUAUGAUAUGAGCUAUGCAAGAGAAGACCAGGUGAGGCUGUAUCGCCCCUGGUAUAGUCGGACGUGUUAUGAUAUGAGCUAUGUAAGAGAAGACCAAGUGAGGCCGUAUCGCCCCUGGCAUAGUUGGACGAGUUAUGAUAUGAGAUUGUGGAGGGCUAGUGGUGACAAGUUCAUCCUUAAUGUGUAUUGUUUGUGAUGUGAUGCAUUCCAUGAUGGCAUAUUUUUAUGAGUUGUUUUCACUGUUCUGCUCACUGGGCUUUAUAGCUCACCCCUCUCUCCUAACCCCAGGUUUGUAGGGACAGAGUUAGUUCAGAAGUUCAGCAGGUUAUGGCUAUGGUUAUAUUUUGUAAUAGGAUAGUAGUGGACAUGAUGUAAUGUAAAAUCAUGUAAUGAUGUAAGAGCAUGUAUUGUAAUGUAAGGAUAUGUAAUGGCAUGUCUUGGUUAGAGUUGUGCUUUGCCCUAGUUAUGUAUGGUUAAUCCUUUUGAUACAUGAUAGUAUGUUAAUGUUUAAAUGAUGAUGAUUAUGCAAACCAAGCUUAAUGUAUGAUAUGUUGACCCAACUGGAGCAUUUGAUGAGGGCUCCAGUAAGGGGUUUUAUGUUACAGCUUUUGUGCAUGCACAGGUUAAGCUUGGAAAAUGAAAGGAAAAGUUUAAAGUUUUUAUGUAUAUGUAUGGUCAUGUAUGGGAUUAACAGGUGUACAGGAUGCAUGUUAGGCUUGCUACGGGUCCCGGCGGCCUUAUGCCGAUCUGGAUUCCUAGCGCCGGUAGCGGUCCGGUUUUCGGGUCGUUACAUCCACGUUGGGGUUGCUGUCACUCCUAGAUCUCUAAGAGGUAAGCCUACAUCAUUGCUUUCCUUAUGUUUUAAAUGAGUUUUAAGAAGGGGUAAAAGGCUAAAAAUGCAUAAAAUGGGUAGAUCUAUAGUUUUUGAGUUGUGUUAGUUUUGUUGAUAAAAGUUUGCUCUUAUGAGUUUUUAUGGUUGUUUCUUUGGGAUUUAGGCUAGUUUUUGUGCCCUUAUGCUUGAUGAGUGAGUAUGCAUGUUUUGAUGAGUUGGGUGUGAGGAUUUGAGAGUUUUGGGUGGCUGAAUGCAUAGGGCAGAAUCGGGUUCUACCUAGUUGGAGAACCCAGGUUCGGCCAUCGACCCUGUAUGGGAGGCAGCCUUUUGGCCGCCUAACCUGCCCCUGAAAGCAUGGACUUUCGGAUCUGUGAAGGGGUUUCACCGCCGAACCCGCUCCUGAAAGUCCCUGACUUUCGGAUCUGUAUGGAGUUUAGGCCGCUGAACCUGCCCCCAAAAGUCCCUGACUUUCGGAUCUGUGAGGGACCUUCGGUCGCCGAACCUGCCGCUGAAAGGCCCCUGCCCAGUCUUCCUUUGCUUGUUUCCUAUGCAUGUUUUGGUAGGUUUUAGGGGGGGGGGUUUGGGAAGUUGUUUAGAGUCUUGUAAUAGUUAUGCUUGGUCCCUCAUUUGAGUCCAUUUGUGUAGGAUCGGACCAAGGAGACCGUAGAGGCCUGCAGUGAGGUAACUGCACCAGUGUUAGGCAAGCGUCAGCCAGAGGUGAGUAGAACUGAACUAUCUUUUCAAAAUAACUAAACUUUUAAGCAUGUUCAUGCAUCACGAAUGCCAUGUAUAUGUAUUAGGAUGUUGCAUUAGAAUUCACGAAUAUGAUGCAUUGCAUAAUUUAUUGUUGAUGUGGAUGGAUAUUGGAUGACCCACUAGCCCUCGAGAUGUUAUGAUAUGAUAUGAUAUGAUACGGAAAGACUAGGGCUGCCCAUUCUACGCCCCUGACACGAUGUAAGAGAAAGACCAGGGCUGCUCAUUCUAUACCCCUGGCAUUAUGGAUAUAUUAUGUUAUGUUUAAGCGAAAGUCCUGAGGGGCUCAGUUGAGGGCCGGACACAUUGGAUUAUGUAGAGGGUUACUGGUGACAAGUCCAUCUUGAUGUGAAUUGUUUGUGUUGUGACGCAUUUCAUAUGAGCAUAUGUUUAUUAAACUAUUUUUAUAUUCUACUCACUAGACUCUUGUAGCUUAUCCCUUUCUCCUAACCCCAGGUUUGCAGGGUCGAAGAUAGCUCGGGAAGCCGGCAUAGUAGCUGGUAUAGUUUAAUGUAAUAGAAUAGUUGUGGACAUGUAAAAAUUUAAUGGAUUAGUAUUGUGCUUGGCCCUAGUUUUCUUUACCUUGUAAUCCCUGUUAACAUGGUCUUUAUGUAAAAGUUUUAAUUAUGAUUUAUGUUUGAACUAAGCUUGAGGCAUGUGAUGUUAACCAUACUAGAGCAUUUGAUGAGAGCUCUAGUAUGAGUUUUAUGUUUUCAGUAUGAUACAUGCACAGAUUGAGCUUGGUUUCAUGAAAUGUUUAAGUUUUUGUUAUAAUGUAUGAUCAUAUAUGGGAUUUUAUCACGUACACAGGAUGUAUAGUAGGCUUGCUACAGGUUCUAGCGACCUUAAGUCAAUCUGAAUUCUAGCGUCGGUAGCGGUCCAAUUUCCUGGUCGUUACAGUUUUUGCUAUCUCCUGUGAUCCUUUGUUUUCAGAAAAACUCGUUCACUACUUUUUUUUUUACUUAUACUCCUUACAAUAAUUUUUGUUUCUUUUUUUUUUUCUUGGUAUGAACAAGAUUACUUCUUCCCUUUCCCUUAACAAGGUUCUACCUCUAGCUCCUCUUUCGAUAGCCCUAUCCGUACCCCAGCCUCUGUUGUUCCAUUGAGGGAGGUUCUGAAAAACGAGGUCGACCUGAUUAGUGAUACUUUAUCUGUCCUUUUGGAGCGUAAUGUAGACUGUCUCUAUGAUACCUAUUAAAUUCCUCAAAAGGUUUUCUGUGUCUUUGCUCUUUCUCUACGCAUCCGUGUGAGUGAUUUGAUUUUGCAGAGUAUACUAUUAUGGUCUUUGAGAAGCAAUUAAAGACAGGUCUUUUUUGAUUCCUUAUGGACCUAUUUUUUAUGGAUGUUCUUUGGUUUUAUAAACUUUCGAUUGCCGAACUGUAUUCUAAUAGCUGAAAAAUUCUAAUGGCUUUUCAGUUCGUUUGCCUAAAUAACCACAUCGAACCAAGUGUAACAUUUUUCUCUCAACUCUAUCAACUAGAUAUCUACAAAAGUGAAAAAUUUUGAUAUUUUAACGGACAAAACCACAUUACCUAUUUGAUAUGGUAUCCCACCUUAACGUGGAGGAAAAAUAGAUAUUUUGUCCUUUGCCACUCGACGCUAGAGGGUUUUGACCAUAUUUUACAAAAUAGAUUUUUGGUAUUUCUUAAAGUCGUUUUGUAAUUAUCUCUCAAUAUCUUAGAAAUGCAACUUUACAAUUAUAUGAUAAAAAAAAUUAUACAUGAGGUAUAUACGUAUUAUUUCAUAAAGGUAUAAUCAAUUUAAGAAGAAUAAAUUAAAAUAAAAUAAUAAAAAUUAUUUUUAUAUCGUUGACGUCGAAGAAGAAUCCAUGGAUUACGAACAAAGAAAACAAAAACCACUGUGGAUAUUAAGACCACCCUCAGAUCAUCACAAAUUCUGUCUUUUAACGUACAAAAAAUAUUAAGUUUGUCAAUAUUUGACAAUUAAGUUAUUUUUUCUUUUCAAAAAUUAUUUUUUAUAAUUUAAAAUUUUUAUUAAAACCUAUAUAUAAAUUUAUUGAUAUAUUUUAUUUUUUCACAAACAAGUGGAGUUUUAAAAUAAUUAUUAUCCAUAUUAAUAAUAUAUUAAUUAAUAAUAUAUAGUGAUUUAAAAUAAAUUUAAAAUUAUUACUAUUUGAAAAUAUUAUAAUUUUUUAUUAAAUUUUAAAAUUAAUAUUUUUAUUAAAUAAAUUUAUCAUAGUUAUUUUAAUUGUUCAUAUUUUAACUAUAAAAUUUAUUAAAUAUAAUUAACUUUCAAUUUUAAAAUGAAAUCUCUUUUUAUUUUUAUUAAAAAAAUAUUAAUAUUUUAAUAAAAUUAUUAUAUAUUUUAUUAUUAUUGAUGGAGUAUAAUUAAAGUUUUUGUUUGUAUUCAUAUAAUAAUUUUGAGGAUAGAGAUAUCACGUGGACUAUCUCAGUAUCGUUUCAGUAAAUAAUUGGUGGAGGCGUAAGGGACUUGCAUGCAUGAAUUCUUAUACUUAAUUAAGCCUGCAUAUUUGUUUUGGAAAGAUGAUUUUGACCUUUUAUUUUUAUAUAAUUAUAUAGAAAAAUAUUUAUUUUGGCUACACAGAAUCUUAUGUAACAAGUAACAUAUUAUUAAAAUCAAAUCAAUUGCAUUAAUUUAUUCGUAAAAUCCCACACCUUAACAUAAAACAAAAAACCAGCUAAAAAAUACAUAAAAUUACAAAAAAAAAAANNNNNNNNNNNNNNNNNNNNNNNNNAAAAAAAAAAACUUGUCACAUUCUUUCUUAUCAUUCCCUUUAUUGUUCAUACUUGCAUAUAAAAUCUUCAAUCCAAGCUGAAAAUACCCACCUCGAAAAUCACUUAUUUGGCGUCUUAAUGAAUGCCAAAUGUGUAGAAUUAUCAACUUUUGUUAAGGUUUUGAGAUCGUAGGCAAUCCAGCAUUUAGAUGAUUGUGUGUGGUAAAAAUAAGCCAAGCACUUGCAAUCCUUGCUGCAUUUGCUGCUACAAGCAUUCUGCUUCAUCGGUCCAUCUCCAUUUGUGUACUUGGAAUUGAAAUGAUCAACCCCUUCUAGUUUAUAGUAGUAAAAAUCUUUCACUCCACAUGAAGACAGCUUUGGUGCCUGACAAUUCUUGCUCCAGCCCAGCAAGCCUUUUGGUGAUGGACAAGCAAUACACUGAUCAUCUUGGCAUAGCCCAAAGUUACCACACUUUUCUGGUAAUUGGCAUUGUGUUUCCCAAGAGUCUUUGGAAAACAAAGUAUAGGUCACUUGCCAUGCACUCCAAUCUGCAUUAUCUUCGUAAGUGUGUAUUCUAAGGUUUCCAUCUAUUUCCAACCGAAGAUAAGACAAUGUAGUGUUGUAUUUAGGCCUUCUAAGAGUGAGAGUUCCACCGGAAGAGGACGUAGGACCCUGGUAUUCUAAAGAUAAACCUGAGAUAAAUGUUACAUGAUUCAAAGGGCCCUCCAAUACACUUAAAAGUUCAGAAAAUGAGAAGUAAAGCAAAGAUUUUGGGGAAUUUGGAGAUUUGUAGUACAUGGCUAAGGUCUUGUCCUCCAUGACCAAACUAUAAGCACCAUUGGCGUUCUGUUUUUCAGAAGCACGACUCACAAGCUUGUUUGCAGCCCCUAGCUUUAGAGAUUGACCCACUAAAAGGGUAUCAGUUGGGUGAUCAAAACUCUGCCAUAUAAACCGACCCUUAGAGUCAUGAAGAACCAUGUUACCAUUUGAGAGUAACUUGAACCCAACAACGCCUUUAUUGGCAGUGUUGGUUUGCCAAGCAAUCCGGCCAUCAGCAUCGGCCAAAACAAGGUUUCCAUCAGUUCCAAAUGUGAGGGUGGCAUUUUCACCAACUGGGUUGCCACGGUUGGCUUCCCAAACCCAACGCAUAAGUGACUCAGACCUCACUGUACCCAUGCGCAGAGCAAGAGUAUAUGCAUUAGGAGUGGUGUUAUAAAAGCAAAGUUGAAAGGGCUGGGCAAAGGGGUCUAAGACUCGGUAAUUGGCACCAUACUCCACAAUAUAAUCCCCAAAUUCACCUUCAUUGACAUACUUGAAGGUUGCAGAAGGAGGAACAGAGGCUUGAGCGAUGGCGAAGGAUAAGCAAAGUGAGAGCAAUAGUUGGUGAAGAGAAAACAUUUUGGUUUGCUUGCUAGUUUUUGGGUUUGGUUGGUAUAUAAAAUCAAGGUAGAGAUGUACUCUUUUAUAGGAGAAAUGGAGGAGGAGGUUUUAGCCGGUCAAAUUGAAUUGCAAGUUGAACGUGGUGGGCUUCAUUUAAUUUUUUUAAAAUGCCUUUCUGUUUAUGUUGAUUUUGUUUAUAUUAAUUUUAUAUGAUCUUAUCUCUAAGCUUUAAUAAAGUUAUAAAAUAAUAUUAUAUCUUCAGGUUAAGAGAAGUUAUUGUAAAAAAUAUCAUAUAAAGAUGAACAGAAUUGGGGAGCGUAUAAAGAAUCAAGACUUUUCUAGAAUCGCACAGCUUGGAUUUUCUUGGACGCAUAUAAUUAUAGAUGGCUUCCCACUCUGGUUUUGGGUCAAACACUGAGUUCUGUCCAUAUCGACGUCUUUGAAUCCAUUCUUCAAGAGCCCACAAUAAAUUUUAUUCUUUAAUAAAUAUAUUUUUUAUAAAAAUUUCACACUGAUAUCGUAUUAUAUGAAAAAUUUUAAAUAUCAAUCGUUAUACUUACAGAUAAAAGCGAAUAAUUUUAUUGAUUUAAGCUGUUUUUAUUUAUAGAAAAUAAUUUAUAUUUUAAAAAUAUUUUUUAUAAAAAUAUUUUUCAAUAAUGUUAUUAUUAUUUAAUUUUAAUUUAAACAAUAAAAUAUAUUAUUAAAUUUAUAUCACGACUAUUAAAAAAGUUUUCAAAGUUAAAACGUUUACAGGUUGAUUUAAGUAUACAUUAAAUAUAAUAAUAAUAAACUAAAACUCAUAAAAUAUUAAUUCAAGGAAAGAAAAUGAAUUAAAAUAUUUCUUUUAAACACGUAUAUAGGUCAACAUAUCACGUUACGCUCCAUAUAAUGAUUUCGCUCCGUAAAAUUGUGAUUAUAUAUAUAAUAUUUAUAUUAAAUUAAAAUUAAAUUUUAUUAAUAUUGAGUCAAUUUGUUAAAAUAUUUUUAAUAAAUAUUUAUUUUAUUUAUGAAAAUAAAAUUUUUAAAUUCAUUUAAACAAAAUAUUAAGUCAUUAAUUUCAACAUCUAUUGAUUAUAAAAUUGUGAAUUUUAAUUUAAGGAUACGGUAUUUUUUCUGAAAGUAGAUGUCAUGCUUAUGACAUUUAAUGUAAGAUGUCCUGCUUAUGCCACUGAAUGUAAGACUGCAUAUUUUCAUGUUUUAAUUUUUUAUAAAUUUAUUCAAAAAAAACUUAUAAUAUAAUUAUUUUAUAUAGAACCAAUUUCAUAUACAUCGCAUCAUAAUUAAUAAUUAAUAUGUAACCAUGCUGCUUUAAAUAUGUUUCGUAUUUGAGUGGAUUGAGAGAUUUUAAAUUUUAUUUUUUUUAAUUUUUAAUUUUUAUUAAAAAAAAUAUUACAUAUAAUUUUUUUAAAAAAAAAUUCAUGUAUAGUUAGAGUUUAAUCUAUAUUUUAAAUUUUAAAAUUUAAAUUUAAUUAAGAAUGAUAUUGGAUUUUGCUUUGAAAUAUUAACAAUUAAAAGUUUACCAAAAAUUUAAAAUUUUCUAAAAUAGCAAAUCAGAAACGUAUGGUCAAGUUUAACAUAAUUUGAUAAAAAACAGUUAAAAUUUAAUUGUGAUCUUUUUAUAUAUAUAUAAAAAAAAAAAUUGAUGCAAAUUGGCGAAGGGAGGACAAGCUCUGAAGAAACAAAAUUAUGACGGUGUAUUUGGGUUGAAACUAAGAGCAAGGCCUUUUAGAUUUGAGGGGAAAAAGAUAAAAUCAAAGGGUGGUAAACAAUUUUGUUUGGGAAUUUAUUGUUCAUCUAUUUUUUCUUUUUACCAAAUGCAGUUGAUAUUAUAUUUUUCUAAAGCAGUAACACACUCAGUCCAGCUCAAAACACAGUGAGAUAGAGAUCCAACCCAGAUAAUGCAGUCCAGACCAUCAAAAGAUUCUUGGAGUUCCAAGCAAGCAUCACCAAUAAUCCCUGCAACCCCUCGCUCCUAACACCGCCUACAAGCACCAUCAAAAUCAACAAGCAUCGUCAAAGCCGCUAAACUGUUGAAGACCAGAACAACAACACCUAAAGGACCCAUCCACACUAACAAAUAGGCUCAAAAUCAUUGCAUAUCAAGCCAAACAAUCCACAAUCAAUAGUCAGUUUAUAAUUUAUUACAAUAUAAAAAGAAAAAUAGAUAAUAUUUUAAAAUAAUUACAAAAAUGAUGAAUAAAAAAUUAUGAGACAAAUAGAAUAAUUAAUAAAGUAAUUUAUAAUUUUUAUCUACUAUAUAUUAAAAAAUUGGUGUAUUUUAGUCAUAUAUCAAUUUUUUUUCCAAAUAUAGAUAAUAGAUUUUAUAUAUUUACGAGAAAUUAUAUAUUCUUGAAAAUUUUACCCAUUUUUUUUUCUUGAAAAUAAAUGCAGCUAUACAUUCUUCCGUGAAAAUGCUAAAAACAGAAAAAUUUACUGGCUUUGGAGGUAAAUAUUAGAAAUUACUUGCCAUAUUCUUCCUUAUCCUUCCAUUUAUUGUUCAUACUUACAUAUAUAACCUUAAGACCGAGCUAAAUAUACACGCCCCUAAAAUCACUUGUUCGGCGUUUUAAUGAAGCCCAAAUGUGUAGAAUUAUUAACCUUUGUCAAGGUUUUGAGAUCAUAGGCAAUCCAGCACUUGAAUGACUGGGUGUGGUAGAAAUAACCCAAACACUUGCAAUCCUUAGUGCAUUUGCUGCUACAAGCAUUCAGCUUCAUAGGUCCAUCUCCAUUUGUGUAUUUGGAAUUGAAAUGAUCAAUCCCUUCUAGUUUGUCGUAGUGAAAAUCUUUCACUCUACAUGAAGAUAUUUUUGGUGGCCUGCAGUUCUUGCUCCAGCCCAGCAAGCCUUUUGGUGAUGGACAAGCAACACACUGAUCAUACUGGCAUAGCCCAAAGUUUCCGCACCUUUCUGGCAAUUGGCAUUCUGUUUCCCAAGAGUCUUUAGAAAAUAGAGUGUAGGUUACUUGCCAAGCACUCCAAUCUGCAUCGUCUUCAUAAGUGUGUAUCUUAAGGUUUCCAUCUAUUUCCAACCGAAGAUAAGACAAUGAGGUAUCGUAUUUAGGCCUUCUAAGAGUGAGAGUUCCACCAGAAGAGGACUUAGAACCCUGGUAUUCUAAAGAUAAACCUGAGAUAAAUGUUACACGAUUCAAAGGACCCUCUAAUAUACUUAAAAGAUCAGAAAAUGAGAAGUAAAGCAAAGAUUUUGGGGAAUUUGGAGAUUUGUAGUACAUGGCUAAGGUCUUGUCCUCCAUGACCAAACUAUAAGCACCAUUGGCGUUCUGUUUUUCAGAAGCACGACUCACAAGCUUGGUUGAAGCCCCUAGCUUUAGAGAUUGACCCACUAAAAGGGUAUCAGUUGGGUGAUCAAAACUCUGCCAAAUAAACCGACCCUUAGAGUCAUGAAGAACCAUGUUACCAUUCGAGAGUAACUUGAACCCAACAACGCCUUUAUUGGCAGUGUUGGUUUGCCAAGCAAUCCGGCCAUCAGCAUCGGCCAAAACAAGGUUUCCAUCAGUUCCAAAGGUGAGGGUGGCAUUUUCACCAACUGGGUUGCCACGGUUGGCUUCCCAAACCCAACGCCUAAGUGACUCAGACCUCAUUGUACCCAUACGCAGAGCAAGAGUAUAUGCAUUAGGAGUGGUGUUAUAAAAGCAAAGUUGAAAUGGGUGGGCAAAUGGAUCUAAGACUCGGUAAUUGGCAUCAUACUCCACAAUAUAAUCCCCGAAUUCACCUUCAUUGACAUAUUUGAAGGUUGCAGAAGGAGGAACAGAGGCUUGAGCGAACAAUGAAAAGAUGGUGAAGGAUAAGCAAAGGGAGAGAAAUAG